UUNGAGUUUGNNUCCUGGCUCAGGAUGAACGCUGGCGGUAUGCUUAACACAUGCAAGUCGAACGGAAUCUUUCGGGAUUUAGUGGCGGACGGGUGAGUAACGCGUAAGAAUCUACCUUCAGGUUGGGGACAACCACUGGAAACGGUGGCUAAUACCGAAUGUGCCGAGAGGUGAAAGGCUUGCUGCCUGAAGAAGAGCUUGCGUCUGAUUAGCUAGUUGGUGUGGUAAAGGCGCACCAAGGCGACGAUCAGUAGCUGGUCUGAGAGGAUGAUCAGCCACACUGGGACUGAGACACGGCCCAGACUCCUACGGGAGGCAGCAGUGGGGAAUUUUCCGCAAUGGGCGAAAGCCUGACGGAGCAAUACCGCGUGAGGGAGGAAGGCUCUUGGGUUGUAAACCUCUUUUCUCAGGGAAGAAAAAAAUGACGGUACCUGAGGAAUAAGCAUCGGCUAACUCCGUGCCAGCAGCCGCGGUAAUACGGAGGAUGCAAGCGUUAUCCGGAAUGAUUGGGCGUAAAGGGUCCGCAGGUGGCAUUGUAUGUCUGCUGUUAAAGAGUCUGGCUCAACCAGAUCAAAGCAGUGGAAACUACAAAGCUAGAGUAUGGUCGGGGCAGAGGGAAUUCCUGGUGUAGCGGUGAAAUGCGUAGAUAUCAGGAAGAACACCGGUGGCGAAGGCGCUCUGCUAGUCCAAAACUGACACUGAGGGACGAAAGCUAGGGGAGCGAAUGGGAUUAGAUACCCCAGUAGUCCUAGCCGUAAACGAUGGAUACUAGGUGUAGCUCGUAUCGACCCGAGCCGNGCCGAANNANA
rnacentral:rRNA from 1 species